rnacentral:rRNA from 1 species
AUUGAACGCUGGCGGCAGGCCUAACACAUGCAAGUCGAACGGUAACAGGAAGCAGCUUGCUGCUUUGCUGACGAGUGGCGGACGGGUGAGUAAUGUCUGGGAAACUGCCUGAUGGAGGGGGAUAACUACUGGAAACGGUAGCUAAUACCGCAUAACGUCGCAAGGCCAAAGAGGGGGACCUUCGGGCCUCUUGCCAUCGGAUGUGCCCAGAUGGGAUUAGCUAGUAGGUGGGGUAACGGCUCACCUAGGCGACGAUCCCUAGCUGGUCUGAGAGGAUGACCAGCCACACUGGAACUGAGACACGGUCCAGACUCCUACGGGAGGCAGCAGUGGGGAAUAUUGCACAAUGGGCGCAAGCCUGAUGCAGCCAUGCCGCGUGUAUGAAGAAGGCCUUCGGGUUGUAAAGUACUUUCAGCGGGGAGGAAGGGAGUAAAGUUAAUACCUUUGCUCAUUGACGUUACCCGCAGAAGAAGCACCGGCUAACUCCGUG